rnacentral:rRNA from 1 species
CCUACGGGAGGCAGCAGUGAGGAAUAUUGGUCAAUGGACGCAAGUCUGAACCAGCCAUGCCGCGUGCAGGAAGACGGCUCUAUGAGUUGUAAACUGCUUUUGUACGAGGGUAAACGCAGAUACGUGUAUCUGUCUGAAAGUAUCGUACGAAUAAGGAUCGGCUAACUCCGUGCCAGCAGCCGCGGUAAUACGGAGGAUUCAAGCGUUAUCCGGAUUUAUUGAGUUUAAAGGGUGCGUAGGCGGUCGGAUAAGUUAGAGGUGAAAUCCCGGGGGUCAACCUCGGAAUUGCCUCUGAUACUGGUCGGCGAGAGAGGAGGUGCGGUAGGCGGAAUGUAUGGUGUAGCGGUGAAAUGCUUAGAGAUCAUACAGAACACCGAUUGCGAAGGCAGCUUACCAAGCUACUUCUGACGUUGAGGCACGAAAGCGUGGGGAGCAAACAGGAUUAGAUACCCGGGUAGUC